CUGUCAGCGUUUUAUGCUUGUCUCAAAAGUAAGCCAUGCAUUCUAAGUUCAAACUAACUUACACUGCAUAUCCAAUGAAAUAAUUGUAGCAAUUCUAAAGCUAAUAUAUAUAUCAAAAGUUCGAUUUUUGCAUGAGCCGCAUCUAUUGGAUCAAAACAAUCGGUUUUAUCCCAUUAAUUAGUGAUUUGAAUGAUUAUAACUGAUCACAUAUCUUAUACCGGUGACAUAUCUGUCAAAUAUCUGCCUGAUCAACUUUCGAUGAAAUUCGAAUUGAGGAAAGGUUGAAAUCCGGAAAGGGAAACCUAUGAAAUAGCUGCUACAUCCAAGGAAGUAAGCACUCAAAUUACUCACUCUUAGGAGGAAGAGAUGGUGAUGAAAAAUAAUAAAAUCAUUCUCUUUGGGGCGAUUAUCAAAAUAGGCACAAUUUAAAACCGUUAACGAAGAAUUACGGGAAAACGAGUCUGGUACCGAAAGCGAUAAUUCCAUUUUUUUAAAAGUAUAUAUCGUCAUGUUGCGGUUAAAAAUUCGUAGUUAGAUUUGCAUUUCAAAGCCUACUCCAUCUGCAGGGUAAAAAGUGGACUUCUACGUCAUAUUGCAAGUUUCCCCUACACUACUUAGAUCGAUUAGUAAGAUUGACUUGAAAAAACUAGAAUGUUAGAUUCGGACUAAUGAAUACUCGUGCAUGGAAGAAUGAAAUAGAUUCUCAGUUGUGAUUAUUUCUCUUGAAUGAAGAAUUUCUUCUUUCUU
rnacentral:ncRNA from 1 species